CACUCCCUAGUUGAUGCCAGCAUAACCUGGUAAUCUUUCCAACGUAGGGUCUCCACUCCCUAGUUGAUUUUACUUAAGACAUAUGGUCUCCACUCCCUAGUCAAUUUUCCAACAUAGGGUCUCCACUUCCUAGUUGAUUUUAUUUUAGGCAUAGGGUCUUUAUUCCCUAGUCUGCUUUUCCAAUAUAGAGUCUCCAAUCCCUAGUUGAUUUCAUUACAAAUAUAGGGCUCCACUCCCUAAUCUCUUUUUCCCAGGUAUACACAUUCUCGACCUUUUAUUUCUUUCAAUAAAUAGUAGUUUAGAAUUUUGUUUCAAUAACUCACGAAAUUUUCCUAUUGAAAACUGGGGUAGAAACAUUUCGUUCGUUUGUUUGUUUUGAUGUCUGAGUAGGUUUGACCGCGAGGCAUAGGGUUCGAGACGACCAAAAGAAUGAGUCUUAAUCCAAAAUAAAGAAAACAAGAAAAAGAGCAAAAAGAAAUGAACUCAAAGUGCUGAAGUGGAGAAAGAUGCGAAUUGCUCAAGAUAUGAUUGAAGCCACAGGCUUCGUGUGUCCCACCUUGAUCCAAAGCUGAAGAGUGAACCAGUGGUUACAGAUGACGAGCAUCAAGAUUCAGAUUGGAGUCUGCAGCAAGAACCAGUCAAGACUCAAGAUCAAGUCUCAAGAGAUUUAUAGAUAGGAAUCUUGUAACUCGUAGUUGAUAGGCUUAGCUAGUUAGUUUUUAUUUUUCAUUGUGGUGUAAUAAGGAGCUCAGUAAGUAGAAACAGCAGCAACAACAGUGAAAUCACAGUUUUCCGGUAGUCCCAGCUACCAAAACUUCCAGAACUACACUGACCUGAUUCCUUUAUAGCCAAGGAUAUGUAGGCAACCUCCGAAGCAAUGUUCGGUCAGAUUUUUCAAAAAUGCUUCUCAUGGAGUUUCAAACGGG
rnacentral:lncRNA from 1 species